rnacentral:ncRNA from 1 species
UGUCUUCGGGGCAGGGUGAAAGUCCCUACCGGCAGUGACAGGCCAUGGGCCUGGUAGUCUGCGACCCGCGUAAGCGGCUGAUCCGGUGCAAUUCCGGAACCGACAGUACAGUCUGGAUGGUAGAAGGCG